rnacentral:rRNA from 1 species
ACUACGGGAGGCAGCAGUGGGGAAUUUUGCGCAAUGCUCGUAAGAGUGACGCAGCGACGCCGCGUGAAUGACGAAGGCCUUCGGGUCGUAAAGUUCUUUCGACAGGGAAGAAAAUGCCUAUAAGUAACUGUGUAUGUAUUGACGGUACCUGUAUAAGCAGCCCCGGCUAACUCCGUGCCAGCAGCCGCGGUAAUACGGAGGGGGCGAGCGUUGUUCGGAGUGACUGGGCGUAAAGAGCACGUAGGCGGUGUUGUAAGUCAUUAGGCAAAGACUAGAGCUCAACUUUAGUAAGGCUAGUGAUACUAUAAUACUAGAGUAUCAGAGAGGAUUGCAGAAUUCCUGGUGUAGCGGUGAAAUGCGUAGAUAUCAGGAGGAAUACCGUUAGCGAAGGCGGCAAUCUGGCUGGAAACUGACGCUGAGGUGCGAAAGCGUGGGUAGCAAACAGGAUUAGAUACCCCUGUAGUC